UCUAUGAUGGGAGCUGGGAAGACACAGCUGUGAAGAAGGGCAAGCAUCUCCGUGGCCCUAUUUCCUAGCAGGAUGACAAGAAGACAGGCAUUGUCUCAAACCAGGGCAUGACUCUCCCACAAACUCUAAAGGGAGCUGGUCAGUCGUUCUCCUUUUAAUUAGCAUAAUCCAUAUGAUUUGAUUCUGACAUCUGAGUUGUCUGCUGUUCUUUCUGCUGAGCGGAAAGGGAGAGGGCUUGAAGAUUGAUUUUAGUUCCCUGUAACUGGAGGUGACAUGUGAAAGCUCAAAGCUAUUGAAAAGGCUCCAACUCACCACACCAAUGUGCUUGAUCAGAUGAGAAUGACUGGAGUAGAGGGCUCUGGAAAUCCUGAAUGCCUUGUCUUAUAAAAAGCAGGAAUCACAGUCAAGUGAGAAAACAGUUUUACUGGAGGGGCAGAAGUUCUCCUCACACACAAAGGACACCGGUCCCUUAGGAGGCUCUUGUGCAGAACUAGGUGGGGAGUGUGGGGUCCUCGCAGUUUUCAUGGGAUCUGCCUGGACUGCUCAGCCCUCCCCUGCUACACACCGUGAUCAUGCAGCAGGCUGGGUUGGGAAUCCCAGGAAAAGAGCAUCACACAGAGCUCCAGAAGGGAACAGGCUUACA
rnacentral:lncRNA from 1 species